GCAUCGAUAGCUCAGUGGCAGAGCGGUGGGGCGUUUACCCAUGCGGCCCGGGUUCGUUCCCCGGUCGAUGCA